rnacentral:lncRNA from 1 species
AAGGCAGGUUUACAGAGACAAAGCAGAUCAGUGUGUCUAACUAAGGCUGGGGAUGGAAGACAGGAUUGACUGCAAAUGGAUGUGAAGGACCUAUUUGGGGGGUUAUGAAAAUGUACCAAAACGGGACUGUGGUGGUGCUUGCACAACUAUAAAUUUACCCAAACAAUUCGAAUUGUACACUUGCAGAGGAUAUAUUUUAUGGUAUGCAAAUCAUAUCUAAUUAAGUUGUUUAAUAUGAAAAGAAAGAAGCAGAAAGUUAUUCUCCAGCCUGGGUGACAGAGUGAGACCCUGUCUUAAAGAAAAAGUAAUUAAGUCAUGUUUCUUUUAGUGGACAGUUAAAAGCAUAUUUACAUAGUAAGCUUCUGUUUCUAUAGUUAUGAGCUAAGAAGUAAUGGCUUUGGGUUCAACAUGAGAAGAGUUUUUGAUAUAACUGGUUUUAAAAAAUCAGUUUACAAUAUACACAUAAUGCCACGAACUAUUUUUGUUUGUUCAGCAAGAGGAUAAAAUUUCUCAUGGUUUCAAUUUUAUAAAUUUCCUAUAUUAGACUUAUAAACAAGCAAGUUUAUAAAUAAACUUAUUAAAAAGUUACCACUGAUUGCAUAACUUGCUUAAAAUACAAAGUUGUAUGAAUUAACUGUAUUCAACUAAAUGAAAUGACAAUAAUGGAUAUAUUUUUAAUUAAUUUUUUUUAUUUCCACAGGUUGUUGGGGAACAGGUGGUAUUGGAUUACAUGAGCAAGUUCUUUAAUGGUGAUUUGUGAGGUUUUAAUGCACCCAUCUCCUGAGCAGUAUACACGGAACCCAAUUUGUGGUCUUUUAUCUUUCAUCCCCUUCCCAUCAUUUUCUCCCGAGUUCACAAAGUCCAUUGCAUUAUUUUUCUGCCUUUGCAUCCUCAUAGCUUAGCUCCCACUUAUGAGUGAGGAUAUCUGAUGUUUGGUUUUCCAUUCCUGAGUUACUUCACUUAGAAUAAUAGUCUCCAAUCUCUUCCAGGUUGCUGAAAAUGCUAUUAAUUCAUUCGUUUUUAUGGCUGAGUAGUACUUCAUCAUAUACAUAUAUAAAUACACCACAGUUUCUUUAUCUGCUCAUUGAUUGAUGGGCAUUUGGGUUGGUUCCACAAUUUUGCAGUUGCGAAUUGUGCUGCUAUAAACAUGUAUGUGCAAGUAUCUUUUUCAUAUAAUGACUUAUUUUCUUCUGGGUAGAUACCCAGUGGUGGGAUAGCUGGAUCGAAUGGUAGUUACGAUUUUAGUUGCUUAAGAAAUCUCCGUACUGUUUUCCAUAGUGAUUGUACUAGUUUUUAUUCCCACCAGCAGUAUAGAAGUGUUCCCUUUUCAUUGCAUCCACGCCAGCAUCUACUGUUUUUUGAUUGUGGCCAUUCUUGCAGGAGUGAAGUGGUGUCACAUUGUGGGUUUGAUUUGCAUUUCCGAGAUCAUUAGUGAUGUUGAGCAUUUUUUUCAUAUGUUUGUUGGCCAUUUGAAUAUCUUCUUUUGAGAAUUAUCUAUCCCUAUCCUUAGCCCACUUUUUGAUGGGAUUGUUUGUUUUUUUCUUGCCAAUUUGUUUGAGUUCAUUUUAGAUUCUGGAUAUUAGUCCUUUGUCAGAUGUAUUGAUUGUGAAUAUUUUUCCUACUCUGUCAGUUUUCUGUUCACUCUGCUGACUGUACCUUUGGCUGUGCAAAAGCUCUUUAGUUUAAUUAAGUUCCAGCUAUUUAUUUUUGUUUAUAUUGCAUUUGUUUUUGGUUCUUGGUCAUGAAAUCCUUGACUAAGCCAAUGUCUAGAAGAGUUUUUUUGAUAUUGUCUGCUAGAAUUAUUAUAGUUUCAGGUCUUAGAUUUAAGUUCUUGAUCCAUCUUGAGUUGAUUUUUGUAUAAGGCAAGAGCUGAUGAUCCAGUUUCUUUCUCCUACGUGUGGCUUGCCAAUUAUCCCAGCAUCAUUUGUUGAAUAGGAUGUCCUUUCCCCACUUUAUGUCUUUGUUUGCCUUGUUAAAAUCAGUUGGCUGUAAGUAUUUGGGUUUAAUUCUGGGUUCUCUAUUCUGUUCCAUUGGUCUAUGUGCCUAGUUUUAUAUCAGUACCAUGGUAUGUUGGUGACUAUGGCCUUAUAGUAUAGUUUGAUAUCAGGUAAUGUGAUGCCUCCAGAUUUGUUCUUUUUACUUAAUCUUGCUUUGGCUAUGUGAGCUCUUUAUUGUUUCCAUAUAAAAUUUAGGAUAGUUUUUUCUAGUUCUGUGAGGAAUGAUGGUGGUAUUUUGAUGGGAAUUGCACUGAGUUUGUAGAUUGCAUUGCCAGUAUGGUCAUUUUCUCAAUAUUGAUUCUGCCCAUACAUAAGCAUGGGAUGUUUUUCCAUUUGUUUUUGUCGUCUAUGAUUUCUUUCAGCAGUGUUUUGUAGUUUUUUUCUGUGGAUACUUUCACCUUCUUGGUUGGGUAUGUUCCUAAAGGUUUUAUUGAUUUAUUUUUUUUACAGCUAUUGUAAAAGAGGUUUAGUUCUUGAUUAGAUUCUCAGCUUUGUUGCUGAUGGUGUAUAGCAGAGCUACGGAUUUGUGUACAUUAAUUUUGUAUCCUGAAACUUUGCUAAAUUCAUUCAUCAGUUCUAGGAAGUUUGGGGGGAGCCUUUAGGGUUUUCUAGGUAUAUGAUCAUAUAAUCAGCAAACAGUGAGAGUUUGACUUCCUCUUUACCCAUUUAGAUGUCCUUUAUUUCCUUCUCUUGUCUGAGUGCUCUGGCUAGAACUUCCAGUACUACGCUGAAUAGAAGUGGUGAGAAUGGGCCUCCUUGUCUUGCUCCAGUUCUCAGGGGGAAUGCUUUCAACUUUUCCCCAUUCAAUAUUAUGUUGAUUGAGGGUUUGUUAUACAUGCCUUUUAUUCCAUUAAAGUAUUCCCCUUCUAUGCUGAUUUUGCUGAGGGUUUUAAUCAUAAAGGGAUGCUGUAUUUUGUCAAAUACAUCUGUGUCUAUUGAGAUAAUAAUGUGAUUUUUGUUUUUAAUUCUGUUUAUGUGGUGUAUCUCAUUUAUUGGCCUGUGUGUGUUGAACCAUCCCUGCAUCCCUGGUAUGAAACCCAGUUAAUCAUGGUAGAUUAUCUUUUUGAUAUGUUGUUGUAUGGGUUAGCUAGUAUUUUGUUAAGGAUUUUUGCAUCUAUGUUAAUCAGGGAUAUUAGUCUGUAGUGUUUUUUUUUUUUUAAUCAUGUUCCUUUAGUGUAACGUAUUUUUUAAAGAAAAUCAUGAAUAAAUGAAUGUUGUAUCUAUUGAGUGACUGGGGUCUGCCAGCACUAUGGUCAUGCCCCAUAACCACAAAUGAGGCUUCUGGGGUGGAAGGUUGCCUUAGGAAGCUCUCUUCAGUCAUGGUAAACAUUUACUUGUUAGUUUGCCGCUAUCAGCUGAAAUUCUCCUUAGUAAGAAUGGCAGUAGAAAAGGAUUUUGAAAAACUAGAAUAUGGAAGUUGCCAUGGAUCAUCCAGUUCUGGGUUCCAUGACUUUCUGUAAAGGGUCAGAUAGUAAAUAUACUUGGUUUUGCAGGUCAUAUGGUUCCUGUGUCAACCACUGGACUUGGAAGUUGUAGCAUGAAAGCUUUCGUAGACAGUACACAAAUGAGUAGGCACAGCAGUGUUCCAGUAAGUUCAUUUUCAUAAAAUGUACAGGGCCAGAUAUGUCGUGCCUGCAGUAGUUGCUGAACACUAAUCUAACAGGAUCCCUCUAUAUAUUUUUUAAGAAAAAAGACAGUAGUAUGCCAGCAAGGCCUAUGCUCUUGGAGUGGUCUAGAGGAAGAGCUAAACUAAAAAGGCAGAAACAAAAUGUGAGAAAUUGGAAUAAAUAAAUCACAAAGGGAGUAAACUUUGAGGGAAUCAAUGAGUAUAUCAUGUUUUGAUUGGAGCCUUUAUUGAACUCAGCCCUCUGCUGCUGAGUUUCCCCACCAAGAAAAGACAUACUCAAAAUAAUAUUUUAAAACACACACACGGCCGGGCGCGGUGUCUCACACCUGUAAUCCCAGCACUUUGGUAGGCCGAAGUGGGCGGAUCAUGAGGUCAGCAGUUUGAGACCAGCCUGGCCAACAUAAUGAAACCCCAUCUCUACUAAAAAUACAAAAAAAAAAAAAAAAAAACAAAAAAAAACACAAAACAUUAGCCAGGCGUGGUGGAUUACAGGCUUCUGCAAUCCCCGCUACUUGGGAGGCUGAGGCAACAAGAAUCACUUGAACCUGGGAAGUGGAGUUUGCAGUGAGCCAAGAUUGCACCACUGCACUCCAGCCUGGGCAACAGUGCGAGACUCUGUCUCCAAACAAACAAAGCACACAUACACACACACACAAACUUUUUAUCUUGAUUUGAACCCAAAGAAAGACAAGUGUGUGAAAAGACUUUUUGGACAUGGAAGAUCACUACUUAACAUGUAUCUAAUGAUAUAGCCUCAUUGUUUAAUUCUAUUAAAUAUUUCUAAUUCUAAUAAAUAUUUGUUGCAUGAAUCUAAAUGUAGUGUGCCAUAGUAUGACUUUGCAAACAGAAAAUAAGCUAAACAUCACUUUUAGGAAUUCCCUGUCAGUUGAUGGGGAGAAAACAAUGCCUAUUCAGUGGAAUUCAAGUGGUGGUCUGUGGACCAUUGCUGCAUGGUGAAUAUUCAACUACUGUCCUGGGAGAGGAUUAAGACAGUUGUUGAGAGUAAGUGUUUCAACACUUUUAGUGCAAUUUGACUGUGCCAAAGCAAGUGGACUUGCUUUAUUGAAAGAGUUACAGAACAGGUCAAAUUCACAUGAUGAGUCACAAAUGGCAGGAACUAUGUAAUUGUUGAGCACAGUAGGGGCAUGUUCUGAAAUAAUUAGUCAGAUUAAGAAGCUUGCGAUAGAUUAUAAAUCAAUGUAAUGUUUGCUUCAUUGAGAAAUUUUUGUUAUAUAUAGAAAAGCAAAAAAUCUUGUUGAACUAAACAUUAUGCUUAGAGAAAUUGUAAAAUGUAAUCAUUCCAUAAGGGUAAUAACUUUAAUUUUUUUAUAGGCAAUAAUGUGAAAGCUGACUAAAAACAACUGUUAAUGUAUGUGGAAGUACAUCUUUAUUGAGGGUAAAAGUUUGGUGGAGAACUGUUGAACUAUAGAACAAUCUCAGUGUUUCCAAGGUCACUUCCCACUGAGAGCUGGUUUACACCCAUUUCAAACACCAUCUCCAAACUGAUACCUUGACUACGAGAUCAAGUGUCCAGAAUGUAACAGAAGCUGCCUAAUAUUUGGUAGAAGAAGAAAGGGAAGAGGAGAAUUCAGAUGCUAAUGGAGAAGUUCCCAUGAUAGUUCAUGAAUGUCAGAGAGGCCCCAGACUUUCAAGUUUGCUUUACUCAUUUAAUGGAAAACUGAAAAGGAGAUGAAGAUUUAAGUCAUUUUCCCAAAGCCACACAGCGGGCUGAGUGUAGAGCCUGGGUGUUAACCAAGAAUCCCUCUGGUGAUUUUUCAAGAAACACCUGGCCUGGCAAGGAAGACGCUGCAUCACAAUGUGAGGGUGGUUUUUUUCUUCUCAGUCUUUGAGAGGUGUGAGAGUGUAAGAGGGGCCUGUGUGCGGUCUCUGGGACCACUACCCCCCUCAGUCAGACGCUCCUGAGACCCCUAAAGGCUGUUUCCAAUCUCUGUGGGGUGUGGCCAGAGAGAAUGCAUCCACCCUCAACUUCACCACUUACGGCAUUUGUAAAAAUUUAAGUGCAUCUGAAGGCUCUCCAGCUUGAAACCCUGCAGAGCGGGAUGAAGCUCCCUGAGGGCUGUGGAAGCUGCAGCGUCAUUUUGAUACACAGCGGUUCUUGGAAAAAAUACUGCAGCCUCAGCCGGUGGCCGCAGACUGCUGCUUCUUAAAUGACUCCCCUCUGCCUUAGGGUUAAUGUGUGAGUCCUUAAGGUGGCUCAGGAGGCUCAGAAGGCACCUGUGCAGUUCAGCUUCCUAACUCCUACCACACCGGAGCUGUUUAGUCUCUGUCGGUCUUGUCUCCUCCUGUACAAGCUCUGGGAAGGAAGGGACCAUGGUUUUCUUAUUUACAUCUUUGUCCCCAGAGCUCAGCAGAGUUCCUGACACCUGGCAGGUGAGCAAUUGUUGAUUGUUGGAAGAGUGAAUGAGAUCAAAUUACUUCUUCAGUUGACUGGAAUGUGGACAAAUGUCUCAAGUCAGGAGAACUUGAGGAAGCUCAGGUCACUUGCCAGGGUCAGACCAUAAUUUUGUGGGAAGGGAGCUUGACCCUGGAGGCCUUUGCUAUGCUUACUUUGUGUUCACAAGGAGAAAAUGGUUUGACAUGAGCAAAAGGAACAUUGAGACUGGAAUUUCUGGUUGAUUUAUAUAAGUAUGUGCAGAAGAAAUGACCAUCACAGUCUUUCCCCUUGUAGGUGGGCAAAAAUUGGCCUUAGUUUCUACUCAUUUCUUGGAACAGAAUUACAUCUCAUCUCCUUGGCUGUUUAAGCUGGGGAUGGGCUCAAUAUUUAUCCCCCAAAAGGUGAAAAGCACCUGCUGCAAGCCAUUAACCACAUCCAGUGACAGAACUCAUGCACCUGCUGCUCCCCACCCUUGAGGGUGCCCAUCUUUGCUCAAAUUGAAACUACCCAGGUGAAACAAACACAACAGCCCUUUAUGUUGUGAUUUACUUCAGAUGUUCGCAGGGAAGCAGUAGGUAGGCCUAUGAUAUCUGGGAUCCAUUAGAUGGCUGUAUUGCAUUUCUUUCCAUUAACAAAUGUUUCUUCUCCCAAUGCAAGGGGUGAGCUCCGUUGCUCCCCAGAGUCAGCCUCUAGACUGUGUGGGGAACAAACAUUAGGAAAACCAAAGUGAGGCUUUCUAUCUUAUAUCUGUAUGGAGCACUGUGGUAUUCUGGGCUUAUCACCCUUCCCUGUCAGGGAGUGGGAAGAUGUGCUGGAACUUUCCCCUGGAACACAGCUGGAGUCCAGCUUGUUGGCUUCCAGACAAUGUGGAGACAGCGUGGCCUGAGGCAGAGGCACUGAGCUUGUUGUCCGGAGACCCAGUUUCUGUUUCACCUCUCACACUAAUUUGGAUUAAUGAGAUUGUAUUGUAUGUCCUAAGUUUUUCCUCCCUCUCCACUCUUGCCAUUGUUCACUGGGGGUAAGGUAUCUUUUCUGGUCCAUUGGCUUUGGCCUUGGUCAGUUGACUUGCUUUGGCCAAUGGAAGGUGGAUAUGACAGGUUGCUAGUUACAAGCUGAGGCUCUAAGGGCUGUCACUGCUUAUUUCUCUUCUGCUUUUGCCAGUGCCAUGAGAAGAACUUGCCCUGGGUGGCUGCUGUAGCCUCCAGAUAAGAUGAGUCCCCAAGUACUACUGGUCAACCUGCACACUUGUGAGCAGAAGCAAAUGUUUGCUGUUGUAAACCACUAAGUUUUGGAAUUGUUUGGUACUUGACAUUUGUAUUAGUUCAUUUUCAUGUUGCUGAUAAAGACAUACCUGAGACUGGGAAGAAAAAGAGGUUUAAUUGGUCUUACAGUUCCACAUGGCUGGGGAGGCCUCAGAAUCAUGGCAGGAGAUGAAAGGCACUUUUUACAUGGUAGCGGCAAGAGAAAAUGAGAGAGAUGGAAAAGCGGAAACCCCUGAUAAACCCAUCGGAUCUCAUGAGAUUUAUUCACUAUCAAGAGAAUAGCAUGGGAAAGACCAGCCCCCAUGAUUCAAUUACCUCCCCCUGGGUGCCUCCCACAACAUGUGGGAAUUCUGGGAGAUACAAUUCAAGUUGAGAUUUAGGUGGGGACACAGCCAAACCACAUCAACAUUAUUGAAGCAAUAUUUGAUUGACGUAAAGAUUUCAAGUUCCUUAAUGUUUGAAUUUUUCUAUUUUUGAUCUGAGGUAUGAUUUGCAUACUAUAAAGUAAAAUGAAGAAAUUUUACUAUUCUUACUGUUUGAUGAGUUUUGACAAGGUUCCACAUUCAUGACCACCAUCCCCAACAAGCUAUUGACCAUUUUCUAUCACUCCAGCAAAUCCCUUCAUGCCCCUUUCUAGCAAUUCUACCUCCCCCUCUCUAGAGGCAACUGUUUUUUAAUUUCUAUCACUAGCUUAGUUUGCCCAUUCUUGAGUUUCCUAUAAAUGGCAUCACACAAUGCAAUCUCUUUGCAUUUGGCUUCUUUUGAUCAAUGUGAUGUUUUUUGAGAUUCAUUCAUGUUGUGUGUCUCAGUAGUUUGUUCUUUUUAUUGCUGACUAGCAUUCCAUUGCAUGAACAUCCACAAUUUGUUUACAUGUUUACCUGGUGAUAGACGUUUGGGUUGUUUCCAGAUUUUGGCUACUAUGAAUAAAGCUGCUUUGUUUUCAGCAGAUGUUUUCUUUCCUCCUUGGUAAAUACCUGAAAAUGGUAUUAUUGGGUUAUAAGGCAAAUUGUUUUCCAAACUGGUUAUGAUAUAUUACCUCCAAUCAACAAUUUAUUAGAGUUUCAGUUCCUUCACAUCCUUGCCUUGUGGAUUUUAGCUCUUCCAGUAGGUGUAGAGUGACAUUUCACUGCGUUUUUAAUUUUCAUUUCCCUGAUGAGUAAUGGUGGUGAGAAUCUUUUCAUGUGUUUAUUGGGCAUUGUUGUAUCUUCCUUUAUGAUGUGUCUAUUUAAGUCUUUUGUGCAUAUCUUAAAUUGGAUUUUUUUCUGUUUUCUUAUUGAGUUGUAAGAGAUUUUGAUAUGUUUUCUAUAUAAGUCCUUUAUCACGUAUAAACCUUGUAAAUCUUUUUGCCUAGAUCUCUGAUUAGGAUUGUAGAUUUGACUAUUUCUUCCUUCAGUUGUGUUAGUUUUUGCUUAAUAAACUAAUGUAUUUUGAAGAACUGUUAUUUGAUGCAUAAUUUGAGAUUAUGUCUUCUGGAUGAAUUUCUUCUUUCAUCAUUGUGAAACGUCCUUUCUUAUCUCUUGUGAUACUUUCUGCUUUAAAAUUUACUUUAUCUGAUACUAAUAUUAUAGCCAGCUUUCCUUUGCUUUAAGUUUACUUGUUAGAUCCUUUUCCCACCUUACAUUUUCAAUCUGUUUGUGUCUUUAUAUUUAGAGGAUUCUCUUAGACCACAAAUAUUAAAUAGUUGGAUCUUACUUUUUGUUUUGUCAGUCUCUGCCUUUCAAUGGUCUUUUCUUCCCACUUAAAUUUAAUGUAAUUAUUAUUGUUGUUGAGUUUAUGUCUAUUGCCUUGAUAUUCAUUUUUAUUCUCUCACCUUUUUUGCUUUUUGCUUUGCUUCUCAUUUCCUGUCAUCUUUUGGAUAAAUGAAGUUUUUUCCCCC